CCUACGGGAGGCAGCAGUCGAGAAUCAUUCACAAUGGGGGAAACCCUGAUGGUGCGACGCCGCGUGGGGGAAUGAAGGUCUUCGGAUUGUAAACCCCUGUCAUGUGGGAGCAAAUUAAAAAGAUAGUACCACAAGAGGAAGAGACGGCUAACUCUGUGCCAGCAGCCGCGGUAAUACAGAGGUCUCAAGCGUUGUUCGGAAUCACUGGGCGGAAAGCGUGCGUAGGCUGUUUCGUAAGUCGUGUGUGAAAGGCGCGGGCUCAACCCGCGGACGGCACAUGAUACUGCGAGACUAGAGUAAUGGAGGGGGAACCGGAAUUCUCGGUGUAGCAGUGAAAUGCGUAGAUAUCGAGAGGAACACUCGUGGCGAAGGCGGGUUCCUGGACAUUAACUGACGCUGAGGCACGAAGGCCAGGGGAGCGAAAGGGAUUAGAUACCCGAGUAGUC
rnacentral:rRNA from 1 species